UUCACAAUUUCUGCCAGAGUAUGCAAAGUUUUGAGUGUGUGUGUGUGUGUAUAUAUAUAUAUAUACACACACACACACACUCAAAACUUUGCAUACUCUGUGUAUAUA
rnacentral:miRNA from 1 species